AUUAUCCCAAAAGAAAAAAAAAUAAAAACAAAACGAAAACAAAGAAAAAGAAAAACAUUAGGGGUUGCUUCUUCUUCGUCAUAAACUGAGAAAAGGGUUAUUGAGAACGGUGAUUUCCUAACCCACGUUGAACGGUGAUUUCGUAAUCCACCAGUUAUGCCAUAGACAAAAGAGUUGAUGUUCUUAUGGAUGAUAUUUCGAUCGGUGUUUGGUGAUUUAGGGUUUAAGAAGAAAUUGAUGAUGAAACUUAAGGGGGAAUCGGAGGUGAAAUUGAUAAGGGUUAUUGAGAACUGAGAUUGAUGAUUAAGUUAAGACAAUUGAAGAAUUUCAGAAACUAGGGUUUGGUUUUGGGAAGAGCAGCUAAGACUGAUUCUUAUUUGUUUCCUAUCCCUAAUCUUCAAACGACGUCAACAAAUCAACAUGUGCAAUAGCAUCAUCCUUCUGAGAUUUUCUGAUUUCCCGUUGAUUUCCUGAAAAUUUAAGUUAUAAAAAUCAAGUCUUUACUUAUUUAGCUGUUUGUUGAUCUUUCCUCUUUUUUGUUCAUUCAAAAAUUAAGGAUGAUUUUUUGGGUUUGAGUAAAAAUUAGGGAAAUCUUUAUUUUAUUUUUUUUGGUUGAUUAUCUUUAAUUUUUCUGAACUUUUUCAUUUGCAGGGUGAUAGAAAUUUGUAAGCUCUAUAAUGAAAAGAGGGUUUUGUUUAUGUCCUUGGAAUUCGGUUCUGUGCUCAAUUAUAUGAUAGGAAUCUGGAGAAGGGAGUUCUGUACUCCAGAUUUAAGGUGAUAAUUGUCUGUGAUGCUCUUGCACAAUCUGGAGAAGGGAGCUCACAUGCAUCAUUGUGGUAACAUUCAGCGUGAUUCUGGAAGACCUUCCACUCCUAGAAAAGACCUACAGAUUUGGGCACCAUUAACUUAUAUGGGUUUUCUUUUAGUAUCUAUAUCUAUCAUUCUCGAAUCCUUGGCAGGUGAUGGUGGUACGCUACGAACUUGCCUUAAGGAUGGGGUAGAUAUGCCCAGUUCAGUUUAGCAGAGGUUUGUAAUCGAAUUGAUCCAGUGAAGCAAUUAGGUAUUAGUAUUUUGACACUUUCUGUUUCAUACACUUGAGCAAGCCAAGUUCUUAACCUGCUCUAAUUUCCGAUGGAAUCAAUCAUGUGCAUCGAGACUGAUAUGCACUACAAUUCUUGAAAAAAUGCUCCAUAUGGGUUCCAAAGCAGUCUCCAUGGGUUGGUUUUGAUACAGCAACCUAUACAAGGUAUCCACUUCAUAUAUAUUUUCUUUUAAGUAUACAUGUUCCUUCAGGAGAUCGACAUACAAAUCAUGCAAACAAACUAAUCAAUGAUGGAUUAGGGGUUCUUGAAGUAGCGAUAUGAAGAUUAACAACGGUUUGUUCCAAUCGAAAAGUAUCUCAAAGAAUUCCCAAGGUUCUGCAAAUUCAUCGCAUUAUGCAGAUAUGUUAAGUGGGGACUAUUCAAUGAUGCAUUCUAAGAACAUAAACUCAAAUAAUGCAAAUCACAGCUGUGUUUAAGUAAUCAAAUAGCGCAUGUAGAAAAAAAUUAGUCAUUGUUUGGAUAAAUAUUAAUAUUGUAAUUGAUCUCAAAAUGUCUACAUAUGCUUCUGCAGGUACCUGACAAAGUGGCAAGUUGGUUCGUCAUGGAUUUUUCUUCCACAAUCCCAUUUGAGACUUUAAGAUUCAUGUUUACAGGAAGCAGCAAUAUGUAUAUCUCCAAUUACAUAUUGGGUUUGCUCAAAUUUUGAAGCCUAAGAAAUCUCAAACAACUUUUCACAAGGUUUGUGAACUGCUGCCUAAAGGUAAUUUGUUCCCACUGGCCAAUUAGGUCAGAGUCAACGUCCACAUCGAAUAUGGAUAAGGCACACCUUUGGCAGGUCAUAAGCCUUCCACCUGAGCAGAGGCAUCAAGCACUUCUGUAUUAGCAAACUGGUAUAUCGAUCUGUUGUCUAUCCAGAGGAACAAACAAUGAAGUGCAUACAAAGAUCAAGAAAGAAAUGAAGUCGUUGGUGGUAGUACUGAGUUAUUGGAUUCUGAAGGCCAUGUCAGUGGGAUUACGAUGAUCACUUUCAGUUGGUAUAAGUAGUUGCAUGAUAUUUUAAAAUUUUAGUUCAUUGCACAUUGACUGAUUCCCUUUAGUUUGAGAUGUAAAUUCCAAUUUGGCAGGAAGUUAAAAUUACCAAUUCUAAGGCUAGACUAUCGGAUUGACUGCACAGACAAAAAAUCUUCCACUUAAUAUUUUGAGUAAACAUAGUUGCCAGGGACGAAACUACAGCCCAGCAUGGGAUGGCUUAAGCCACCCUCAAACAAAUUCUUUUGGUUAAUAUGGUGAAGCCAGCCCAUAUAUUUUUGAGUAUGAAUUUUGUUUCUUGAA